rnacentral:rRNA from 1 species
GAUCCUGGCUCAGGACGAACGCUGGCGGCGCGCCUAACACAUGCAAGUCGAACGGAGAUUACAGGCGGAAGUUUUCGGAUGGAAGCUUGUAAACUUAGUGGCGGACGGGUGAGUAACACGUGAGCAACCUGCCUAUUAGAGGGGGAUAACGAUUGGAAACGAUCGCUAAUACCGCAUGACAUAGCGGAACCGCAUGGUUCUGUUAUCAAAGAUUUUAUCGCUGAUAGAUGGACUCGCGUCCGA